GCCUGGGUGGCUCAAUGGUUGAGCAUCUGCCUUUGGCUCAGGUCAUGAUUCCAGACUCCUGGGAUCGAGUCCCACAUCGGGCU
rnacentral:tRNA from 1 species